GCGUCUGAUGACUUUCUCUGUCUCUUCUCUCUAACCAAACCACAUCUUCACUUUCUCUCUUAUGCCGCCACCACAACUUUAUGCGCUUCCGCCUCCGUCUCAAUACCAUUAACGUUCCACAUCCCCCGCUUCCUUUGGGCAUUCCCGCCCAAUCAAAACCAUAACAUAGGGCUUGGUGAUUAGAUUUGAGGGAUUUCGACGGGGUGUUGAUUGGGUGUGUUCUCUGAUUUGGAUGCCUUUGCGAGACUUCGUGGUAUCUCGGUUCUUGCAAUCCUCUGUUUCUUUGGCUUCCAAUCACCGCUACGACGACGACUCCAGUCAUAUUCAGAGGCUACGGUAGUAUCUACGAAAAUGGCGCGUCAGAGAGAGCCGCCACCAUCAUGGUUUACUUGCCUCAAACAAUCGUGCUACGCAAGCUUAGACACGACAGCAUCCGAGGGGAUUGUAUUGGCUCCUAAAUGACGGCUUAAAGAGUGAGUAAGUUUGCGAUUGAGCAUUGUUUUGCUGCAAGUGUUGGUAGAAUAGCUUUAGAACAACUACAUUAUCUAGAAUGUUUAUGAUACAAUCUGCUAUUGUUCAUCUACUUGGUGAGUGAUGUUUACAGGAACGUUGAGAGAGGUAUCCCGUCCUAACUUGAAUAUAAAAGUUUUAUCAGUAAACGAUAUAUAGGUGAUUAGCACAUGAUUACAUACUUAUGUAGUUCCUUAUCCAUUCUUUUUUUUUUUUUUUUCUUCACAAUUUCUAUAUGAUUGGUUGGAAUGAUAAUGGAGUGUAUAGAGUACUAAAGAUAGACCGGCUUGAUGCGUGUCGGAGCUUAACCUCAGUGAGGAUUCCACUGCCUAUACCAAAAAAGAUUGCUACGAGCUGCUUAAACGGAUAUACGAAGGAAACAAGGCCACCUGCGGCCUCAAACUUGUCACUCUCUGUUAUCGCAUCAUUGGGUUCAUUAAGUUUUUGGGACCAUACUACAUGCUGGUUAUCACUGAGAGAAGAGAGAUAGGUGAAAUUUGUGGUCACAGGGUGUAUGAAGUGUCCAAGAGUGAGAUCAUUUCUUUGCGAAUUUCUAGCGUGCUUUGCAACAUUGCAAACUCAAGUGACGAGAACAGGUACAAGAGGCUCAUGUGUAUGGUGGACCUUACAAAAGACUUCUUUAUGAUGCGUAGUUUCCAGAAGAAUAUAUGUGACCAUGAGAGUGGUGGUGCUCUCUAUAAGAAAAUGUUUGUGUGGAACGAGUUCUUGACUCGGGGAAUUCAAAAUCAUCUAUAGAAUACCGUGUGGACUGUAGCAUUGGUGUAUAGUUUCUUUAAGCAGACAAGUAUUUCUGAAGCUUGACGGACAUUUUAAACUCACUCCUAUUGCUAGGCGCUCCCGCCAUAAUGCUGGAACCAGCAUAUUAUGUGUGUGGUUAAUGUUGCAGUUAGAUGGGACUGAAGAGCUUGCAUUCCCGAAGGAUUCCAUAGCUCCGACCAGCAAUUCAUUGCAAUAAAACUAGCACCUUCUCAAUUGUUAAAUUCCUAACCAGGCAAUUCGAAUUUUGCAUCAGGAAAGGCGCCUUAAUUACAAAAAUAAUAGAAGACAUGCACUGACUUGAAAAGCAUUGAGGAAGGCAAGUUGCAACUGGAGACAGAAAAGUUUCAACUUGAGAGCGUCUUGGACACAAUCAUUAGCCAAGUGAUGAUUAUGUUGAGCGAGAGGAAGUCACAACUCAGGGUUGAAGUCGCCCCAGAGAUCAAAACUCUGCCUCUAUAUGGUGACAGAGUAAAGCUUCAGCUCAUUCUUGCUGAUCUUCUGCGCAACAUUGUGAAUCAUGCCCAUUUCCAGAUAGUUGGGUAGGAAUCAAGAUCUCAUCAAGCCACAAGCUUGCGCACGACAAUGAUCCCUAUAUCCAUCUUCAGUUCAGGAUGAUACAUCCUGGAAAAAGAAUUCCUUCAGAGAUACUAAGUGAUAUGUUUGAGACACGAGAUGGAUGGGUCACGCCUGAUGGCUUAGGACUCAAGCUUUCAUGGAAACUACUAGAACAGAUGAAUGGUAGUGUGAGUUAUGUUAGAGAAGACGAACGUUGUUUCUUUCAAGUGGAUCUUCAAGUUAAGACAAGGUUGGGUGUUGAGACCAGAGUAACAUAGACUGGUUCAAGCAUACAAUCGAGAUUCUGAGUUACAAAGGCAUAUAUAUAUAAUAAAAUUUGAUGAAUUUUGCUUCUUUUAUGGUCUGAAUGUGUUGUCAUUCAAACAAAGUUUCCAUUAUUUAUUUAUUUUUUUAUGUAUCAAUAAGAUGUAUCUCAGUCAUUCCUAUGUACAUGAUUAAGCAAACCAAGAAAGAAAAAACAAACAAACCAUAACCAUCAA